CAUUUGAUCAAGAUAUACAUUUUUCUUUUGAAGUUUUGGAAUAAAACAAUCAAUUGCUUCAGAAUUGUUUAUAAGCCAAUUUAGAGGUGAGGUUAUCUACUUCGCUGUUGGCUAUUUAGAAAAGUUGGAACAAAUAUUUAAAAGGAGGGGUUUUAUCCAACUGGAAUUUUCUAACUGUGCGGUAUCUUACUUGUCCUCUAUACAACGUGAUGGAGAGGGAGGAGUUUUCGGUCUCCUCGCCAUAGGAUUGUAAGCGGUUGUUAUUGAGCGUCUCGGUCCAGUCUAGCUGUUCUCAUCCGGACACCCAUGAGACUCAGGCAGGCACCGUAAAAGCUUUACAGUGGGCUAGAAGGCUAUCUACAGAACUUCUGAUGGUGACGACACUCGGCGGGGCAAUUGUAGGAUUGUAAACAGUGCGCUUUUAGACAGUGUUCUUAAAUGGAUGGAGACGUCAUGGACCUCAGAGGAACACAAUAACAUUUGGAAAGUUUCACCAAAUGCCCUCUUGGUACUCAGAUGACUUUUUAAUCUAGGCGGCAAUUCUGAUUUCGUUUUCACAUUUUCAGAUUUCGUUUUUUUUUAUGAUUCCAUUGUGCCACAGAGAGAAUGACCGCUUUCACCCCGUGCAUAAAUUAACUGAAUUAUUGUACGAGCUACUGCGUGGAGACAAGUUAAUGUUUAACUUCUGAGUUCUUAGAUUUCUUGGUGGGGGGCCAACGCGAACUGGAAAUGGGAGCGUGCCUUUGCUGUGCCUUGUAAGUUUUUACAGCCUGGUGCCAAGGGACAACAACAACAACAACAUGGGUAGCGGUAGUAGUCGAGGAAAGAAGGUUGCUCCUUCCAGUGUCAACGAGAUAAACUCAUUCAGAAGAGAUGACAACACAGUCCACGUUUUGAAAGAGGAAAGACACUUGUUCAAACCAUUGAAAAUAACCAAAUCUACGAAUUUAAGUCAGUCACGAAAUAGAGCGCAACACGACUGCCACAGUGAAGGACACGAUUCUGAAUUUUCCGUAGAGGAUGAUGACAUUGAUGUGGAACUGAAUCGAGUUCUACAGGAAUAUGACAAUCGGGAAUUGCGUUCCAAGAGGAAAACGUAUCAAACGAAACCUUUCAUCAGGUCUAAUACAUAUGGGUUAUGUCAUUCCAGUCGAGUCCACAAUGAAAGCGUUUUCAAUUCAACCCCACACUGGCAGAGUUCUGAAUUGUCGGAGGGGAGUGGGGCAUGUUGUCCAGAUAACGGUUCUGUUGGAGUCAAGGACAAGAAAGGCAUCCCAGUCUUCAACCAGUUUUGCAAAAAUACACAAAUUCAGUUCUCAAGCGGCGCUCAGGAAAAUGACUUGUUGACAACGGGGUCAGCUUGUGUGGAGUCAGUGCCUCGAGCAGAAACAGACUCAUACAAAUGGCAAAUGCAGGUCAACAAUCCUUCCACCAAAGGACCCUUCUAUGGAUAUAAUUUAGUGAAAUGGUCUUUGUUUGACAGUUUCGUGAGGAAUGACCCAUUAGUCUGAUUGAACAGUUUGAACUGUUGCACUGACACUAUCAAAUCAUUGGAGACAUGCAUGGAAUGCAGUGUUUGAAGACAAUGAGUGACCUACUGGUGGCAUCAACAUAUACACUUUACAUUAUGUACAUUAUGUGAAAUGUGUUGUCUCGUGAUGUAUCGCCAGAGCGAUUCCUGGAGUGUGUGUGAGCAUAUUAGUGCAUGCAUUAGAGAUAUAGAUAGGUUUAUGAUUAUCUAGAAGACAAAACCA
rnacentral:lncRNA from 1 species